rnacentral:rRNA from 1 species
GAUGAACGCUGGCGGCGUGCCUAAUACAUGCAAGUCGAGCGAACAGACGAGGAGCUUGCUCCUCUGACGUUAGCGGCGGACGGGUGAGUAACACGUGGAUAACCUACCUAUAAGACUGGGAUAACUUCGGGAAACCGGAGCUAAUACCGGAUAAUAUAUUGAACCGCAUGGUUCAAUAGUGAAGGACGGUUUUGCUGUCACUUAUAGAUGGAUCCGCGCCGCAUUAGCUAGUUGGUAAGGUAACGGCUUACCAAGGCGACGAUGCGUAGCCGACCUGAGAGGGUGAUCGGCCACACUGGAACUGAGACACGGUCCAGACUCCUACGGGAGGCAGCAGUAGGGAAUCUUCCGCAAUGGGCGAAAGCCUGACGGAGCAACGCCGCGUGAGUGAUGAAGGUCUUCGGAUCGUAAAACUCUGUUAUUAGGGAAGAACAAAUGUGUAAGUAACUAUGCACAUCUUGACGGUACCUAAUCAGAAAGCCACGGCUAACUACGUG